UACGUAGGGCGCAAGCGUUGUCCGGAAUUAUUGGGCGUAAAGAGCUCGUAGGCGGCUUGUCACGUCGGGUGUGAAAGCCCGGGGCUUAACCCCGGGUCUGCAUUCGAUACGGGCAGGCUAGAGUGUGGUAGGGGAGUGUGGAAUUCCUGGUGGAGCGGUGAAAUGCGCAGAUAUCAGGAGGAACACCCGUAGCGAAGGCGGCACUCUGGGCCGAUACUGACACUGAGGAGCGAAAGCGUGGGGAGCGAACAGG
rnacentral:rRNA from 1 species